ensembl:lncRNA
AUACGAACACAACAGUGAAAUGAAAGAGCAGCUCAUCAAGAGCACUUUGGGUUCCUGGAGAAACUUCCCACAGUGCAAAAGAGUUUCUAAGCUGUCCUGAAGAAAAAGACAAACUUGGGAGGAGCAGAAGAUCCCUUGCUUGCUGUUGGUCUUCAUUGUCAGAGCCAGUUUCUGGAAGAUCUGAAAUCUCUUCUGACAGACCCACUGGGAUCUCUGGUGGCUUGGCUGCUGAGUAGGAGAGACCAUUGAAGCCAAGGAGUGGGAAAUGUGCUGGAGAGGAUGUGCUCCCUUGGGCAAAGCAAAGCAGUGUGCAGCUACUUUUCUGUUUCCUCCUUGUUGGACCCUCUCUGCUGUGCAGGGCAAGACUAGGACGAGAGUUCUGUCUCCCUCUUUUAUGGCAUGGAUGGACCUCAUUGGGAUGUUCUUUUUCUCCUGCUGAAAACUUCUGCCAGCACCAGGGCAUAGACAGUCGUCUGCAUGACUGUCAGUGCUGUGAUGGAUUGGAGCAGGCUGGGAAGGCAGCAAGAGGGUGGGGAACAAGGAUGGCAAGAAUGUUCUCCAACACCGUUACCACCCGGAGCUUCUAGUUACUCUUCUGUCCCAAAAGGUAACGUAUAUGCAUUGUGUAUCCUUCUUCUCAGCCAUAACAGACCAUAACAGACCAAUGUGACAUGCCACAUAUGGUGCAGUUGAACUCUUUUAUUUAACCCACCUCUGGAAAAAAAAAAAAAAAAAAAAAAAAACGUAUUGCCACCACCAUCUCACAGACUUAUGCAAGUUAUAAUAAUCAGCAUUUAAAUUUUUC